UACAGCCAUAUCAUGGUCAAACACUGGGUCUUGUAUGAUCAUCAAAGUUAAGCAAUGUCAAGCCUGAUCAUUACCUGGAUUGGUGACCGCUUGGGAAUACCAGGUGCUAUA